AGUGGCCACCCGAGUCGGGCUUUACAUUUUGUUAGUAGUAUACCCUUCUAUCAUCUUUUGUAUUUGAUGAUUUAAGAUGAUGAUGUAUAAAGCAAAUGAGAAAAAGAAUGUAAUGUUUAUUUUGAGCAAAUGUGAUGUAAAAGAAAUGAUGCGAGCAAUGUAAAGAAUCAUGAAUAUGAAGAUUAAACGCAAUGUAUGU
rnacentral:lncRNA from 1 species